GUGACCACAGAUGGGGAGUGGAAGGGCAUGGUGUAGGCCAUUUAAUACUUUCUUUUGUAACCUCUUCAGUGCCUCUUUCCUUAACAUGAUAUUAAAACCAGAUGUCUCGCAUUGGAUCAUCUGGGAUUUCAAAGUGUAACAAUUUUGUUCGAUUGAGGCUGUGGAGAAGCAGCUUUCUCAACAAAUGGGGAAAUGGCUGCCUGAAAAUAAACCCAACACUAGAGACUGGGAUUAUGGAUUUUUGGCAAGAAGACCACAGAGGUAUCACAUCAUAA
rnacentral:lncRNA from 13 species